rnacentral:rRNA from 1 species
GAUGAACGCUGGCGGCGUGCCUAAUACAUGCAAGUCGAGCGAACGGACGAGAAGCUUGCGUCUCUGAUGUUAGCGGCGGACGGGUGAGUAACACGUGGAUAACCUACCUAUAAGACUGGGAUAACUUCGGGAAACCGGAGCUAAUACCGGAUAAUAUUUUGAUCCGCAUGGUUCAAAAGUGAAAGACGGUCUUGCUGUCAGUUAUAGAUGGAUCCGCGCUGCAUCAGCGAGUUGGUGGGUUAACGGCUUACCAAGGCAACGAUGCAUAGCCGACCUGAGAGGGUGACCGCGCACAUUGGGACGGAGAGACGGCCCAGUGUCCUAUGGGAGGCAGCAGUGGGGAAUAUGGCACAAUGGGCGGAAGCCUGAUACAGCAACGCCGCGUGCGGGAGGACGGCUUUCGGGUUGUAAACCGCUUUCGCCUGUGACGAAGCGUGAGUGACGGUAAUGGGUAAAGAAGCACCGGCUAACGACGUG